rnacentral:rRNA from 1 species
GACGGGGGGGGCAAGUGUUCUUCGGAAUGACUGGGCGUAAAGGGCACGUAGGCGGUGAAUCGGGUUGAAAGUGAAAGUCGCCAAAAAGUGGCGGAAUGCUCUCGAAACCAAUUCACUUGAGUGAGACAGAAGAGAGUGGAAUUUCGUGUGUAGGGGUGAAAUCCGUAAAUAUACGAAGGAACGCCAAAAGCGAAGGCAGCUCUCUGGGUCCCUACCGACGCUGGGGUGCGAAAGCAUGGGGGAGCGAACAGG